rnacentral:pre_miRNA from 1 species
CCCUUAACUACUAAAAAUUUCGUUUUGGUCCAUUAACUUAUUUUUUGGUUUCGUUUUGGUCCCUUAACUCUUCCUCCGUCAACCACUUUGGUCCUUUAUGUUCGGAUGAAUGUAUUAGAGUUAAGGGACCAAAACGAAACCAAAAAAUAAGUUAAGGGACCAAAACGAAACCAAAAAAUAAGUUAAGGGACCAAAACGAAACCAAAAAAAUAAGUUAAUGGACCAAAACGAAACUUUUAAUAGUUAAGGGA